UACGUAGGGCGCAAGCGUUGUCCGGAAUUAUUGGGCGUAAAGAGCUCGUAGGCGGUGUGUCGCGUCGGAUGUGAAAGCCCGGGGCUUAACCCCGGGUCUGCAUUCGAUACGGGCAGACUGGAGUGUGGUAGGGGAGAUCGGAAUUCCUGGUGUAGCGGUGAAAUGCGCAGAUAUCAGGAGGAACACCGGUGGCGAAGGCGGGUCUCUGGGCCGUAACUGACGCUGAGGAGCGAAAGCGUGGGGAGCGAACAGG
rnacentral:rRNA from 1 species